rnacentral:rRNA from 1 species
GACGAACGCUGGCGGCGCGCCUAACACAUGCAAGUCGAACGAGAGAUGAAGAGCUUGCUCUUCAAAUCGAGUGGCGAACGGGUGAGUAACGCGUGAGGAACCUGCCUCAAAGAGGGGGACAACAGUUGGAAACGACUGCUAAUACCGCAUAAGCCCACGGCUCGGCAUCGAGCAGAGGGAAAAGGAGCAAUCCGCUUUGAGAUGGCCUCGCGUCCGAUUAGCUAGUUGGUGAGGUAACGGCCCACCAAGGCGACGAUCGGUAGCCGGACUGAGAGGUUGAACGGCCACAUUGGGACUGAGACACGGCCCAGACUCCUACGGGAGGCAGCAGUGGGGAAUAUUGCACAAUGGGGGAAACCCUGAUGCAGCGACGCCGCGUGGAGGAAGAAGGGUCUUCGGGAUUUGGUAAAACUCCUGUUGUUGAGGAAGAUAAAUGACGGUACUCAACAAGGAAGUGAACGGCUAACUACGUG